CCUGUAAGACUGGGAUAACUCCGGGAAACCGGGGCUAAUACCGGAUGCUUGUUUGAACCGCAUGGUUCAAACAUAAAAGGUGGCUUCGGCUACCACUUACAGAUGGACCCGCGGCGCAUUAGCUAGUUGGUGAGGUAACGGCUCACCAAGGCAACGAUGCGUAGCCGACCUGAGAGGGUGAUCGGCCACACUGGGACUGAGACACGGCCCAGACUCCUACGGGAGGCAGCAGUGGUCAUAG
rnacentral:rRNA from 1 species